rnacentral:lncRNA from 1 species
GUAAAAAAAGAGAGCAACAGUACAGAAAUACAAGAAGAUGAAACAGUGGUAGAAGAACUGGUGGAAAUUGUGGAAUUUAGAAACUCGAAAGAAGAGGUAGUGAGAGUUUCUUUUCCACUCAACAAAACUGCGGUUAAUCACUCACAGGAAAAUAGAGAAAAUCUGCUUCGCUUCUCUCAAAGGAACCUGUGGUGCAAUAGUGACUCUUCACUUGAUGGAAGUCCAUUUAUAUUUGAAACAAACGUUGAAGUACAUCAAGACUGUACCAGCUCAAAUUCUUCCUGUUCAUCUUUCUAUUCGAUUCACUCAGUUAAAGUAGAGGACAAUUAUACUGUGAAGAAUAGUCACUCAUAAGAAUAUAUAGUUACCAUUCUGAACACAAAAAGAAACCUGUGAUAUACUAAGUGGUUAUUCACUUGUUCAAACAGCACUUAUAGUUGCAAGGAAAGCCAUAUUAAGUAGGGUUUCCAAUAUUACCAACUGGUGGAACUUAAUGGGCAGAGCCCUGACAAACAGAAUGUGUAGGAUAAUUUUAAAUAUCCUCAUAGUUUUUGCAAUACAUAGUAUGCCGGACGUGGCCUAAACGUUAGUGUGACAGGAUGUGGAAUCGAAGGAUCCAAAAUUCAAGAUACCGUUGAACACGUUCAUUACCUUAAAAAAUCACUGACAGAAAAUGACAAAUUUGUGUGGUUUUACUUACAUUUGUAGAAUUCAUCAGUUGAACGUGUGAACAGUGGAAAGCUAACUUAAAUAACAGAGAAAUAUACAUAAGUUUGUUAGAUGGCCUCAAAAGAUAUAUUCAAUUCCUGAAGAAGAAGUGGGAUCUCAUUGUAGAUGAAGUAUUGCUCAUUUUUUUUUUCUUUCAUCUUGGAAGAAGAUUCUCUUUCCUCUGAGUCAGAGGAGGAAGCCACAACAUCAACAAUGAAUUGUGAAAAACCCUCAUUGAUGGUUUCUCUUUUCUUUGAGGACCCUGACAUACAGUCAUGGGAAGAAGACUCUCCUCAUGACCCACAACAAUUUGAAGAUACUGCUACUGGUCCUCCCACAACCAGCACCACAUCCACUUCCAAAAUGGCCAGAGGUAAGAAGACACAGCAAAAGCCUCUGACCUGUAGUGCAGAAUGGAAAUGGGAGGUACUUGAAGAUGAGGAACCUAAAUUGUUGUGGGACUUCAUUCGAGAAGAGCAUGUUUCCUGUCUAGCUAGCAGGUGUCAGACUCCUCUUGAUUUUUAUCAACUGUAUUUUACUCUCAGUAUUGUAACCAAAAUUGCUGAAGAAACAAACAGAUUUGCACACCAGCAAAGGGAGGAACACCAAAAAAAAAUGCUAUCAGAAAGAAAAGAAGAAUGCUGAAAUAUAGUGGUGUUACUCCUGAAGAAAUUUCAGUUUUUAUUGGUGUAAGUAUAGAUAUACAUCACUUACCAUCUUUUUCAGAUUACUAGUAUAUCACUCCUUUAAUUCAUUUACCCUGGUUUUCUUCAAUAUUUUCCAGAGAAAAAUUUCUAACUAUCGCUCACUUCCUGCAUUUCAAUCUAAAAAUGAUGCUAAGCAUGAUAAACUCUUCAAAGUCAGGCAUGUGCUCAAUCAUUUAUUAACAGUUUUUUCAGCUCACUAUAACCCUACUAGGGAACUAUCUAUUGAUUAAAAAAUGCUGGGAACAAAGGGGAGAAUUUCAUUUAAACAAUAUCUACCUAACAAGCCUACCAAGUGCGGCAUCAAACUGUGAGUUCUGGCAGAAGCUGUAACUGGAUAUUGUUUAAAUUUUAGAGUAUACUCUGGUAAAAGGGGAUCUGUACCUUUCAAGGGCUUAGCUAACACAGUUGUAAUGACUCUGAUGGAAAAGUACCUUGAAAGAGGACACAGUCCUUUUACUGACAACUUUUAUACAUCUCCAACUCUGUUUGAUAAGUUGCUUUCACUUAGCACUCGUAGGAAAAACAGGGCCUACUUCCCAAACAUGUUUACAAGUAAUUUAAAAAGGGAAGGGUCAAAGUUUUUAUGCUGUGGCUUAAUGACUGCUGUGUACUGAUAAGAGAGAUGUCUAUGCUCUUUCUACAUCAGUUGACUAAAAUUGUAUGUAUACUUCUUCGUGCAUAAUUUAGCAGUUAGAUUUUUAUUGUUUUCUUCUGCACUAUACUCAUGGGUUGUAAUAAAUUGUGUAAAGCAUAUUCAUUUAUUUAUAAAGCUUGUUUAUUCAUUUAUUUAUAAAGCUUGUUUAUUCAUUUAUUCUCCUUAUAAGUUUGACAAUUUUUCUUAUAAGUACUUUGUGUUUAUGAUCAUUGAUGCUCUUCUUGUGUAUAUGUAUCUUCAGUUGUAACUUUUGUAUAUAUAUUUUAUGUAAUUCAAUUUUCUGUUGUGAGUCAUGAUCGGGUUUUACAAAAGAUUAGAAGCUAUCACAAUAAAUACAGAACAAUUAUGAAACCAAUGAAAAGCAGUCAAAGUGACACUUACAAAGCCAAAGAAUUCCAAGAACAAGCAGCAAAAGAUGUUUUCAACAUUUUCCUUUAAGUGUUCAGAUUUUUCUUUGUGUGAUUGUGCUAAGGAUUGCAAAGUACCAAAGAAAAAAUAGACUUUUCUCUUACAUCAAAGAAGUGACAGAAACAUUAUUAUAGGCUCAGUCAACACCUCUACUACUAAAAACUCCAAGAAAUGGAAAAAAGAAAAUACAGAGCAUUACUUCCCUUUGAACAAAACACAGACAAUACAACUGAGACAAAAUGGGAUGAUGAUGAACCAUGUGAAAUGAAACUCCCUGAAUCUGAUACCAAUAAUGACUAUGUUUUACCCAUGUACUAUUUGCAGAGAGCUGUGGAAAAUGGUAAUGAACAAAGGCCUUCAUCAUCAAAAGGUGAAAAAACACAUCUCAAAUGAGGCUGCCAUUAACAGCAUUUGCAGGAGCUUGCAACAGGACAGGAGUGUUUGACAGAGCAGCUUCUACAAUUGCUAGUGCAAUUAUGGAAGAUGUAGGACUAAUUACAAAACAGAAUAGUUUGAAAAUUGUAGACAGGACUAAUGUACAAUGGGAAUGAUUUAAAAAUAGAGCUAAAUUACAAAAUGUCCUCAAAGCCUAUUCUUUGAUUACCAAAAAUACAAAACUCUGAAGCAAGAAAAAAAAAAGGUUAUAAAUAUUACAAAACAACAAUUACAGAUUAAAAUUUGGCAAUACUUGAGGAACCUGGAUCAAAGUAUUUAAGACACACACAACACGUGUCUGGCACUGGUGAAUGUAUCAAAACAAGUAUCAUAUAAUAUUUAGAGGAAAACAACAUAAAUACUGAAGAAAUAGUAGCUAUUGGAUGGGCCUGCAGUGAAUACCGGACCAAGGGGUGGAGUCAUCCAACUACUAGAAGAACAUUUUAGGAAACCAUUGCAAUGGCUAGUAUGUCAACUCCAUGCUAGUGAGCUAGUAUUGCGACAUCUUGAUGGACACACUAAAGGACCUUACAGCUAUUCAGGUCCUAUUGGCAAAAGUUUGGAAGGUUGUGAGAAUCUGCCUGUAGCUGUGUUCCAAAAAGUCGAAGUUCAGCUACUCGCAUUAUCUCAGUGAAGAAUUCAAACAUAGAAUAGUGGAUCCAGUUAUACAGAGGAAUGCCUUUUUUGGUCACCCGGAAAACAUUCUCUUAGCUAUGAUUACAGAUGACCAACAACAUAUAAGGGAGUUAGGACUAAGAAGAAUCAUGAGAUCAAGAAAACAAAAGCCUCCAGAAUUUAGACAAUAUCAAAUACCACCACUUAGGUUUGAUGCAGUAAGAUUAAUUGAAUGGCAACAUUGCAAUUUGACAGAGCCACUUUUAACAAUGAAACUUUCAUACAAUGAAUUGGGACUUAUGGUAAAAUCAAAGGACGUGCCAAUGCUUAAAACUGCAAGGUUUCCAUAUCAUACCCAAGCUGUUGAAAGAUGUAUUAAACUUAUGACUGAAGCAUCAAGUGCUGUUUAUGGACAAGACUCAAGAAAUGGAUGCAUACAUGCAAGGCUGAAAUCCUGAUAGCUGAUGCCCUCAUUUGAAUCUAAAAACAAAUAUCAUAUCUCACAGUAAACAGGACCUAAAGUGCUCACAAGGUUGAGUGGAAUGGGUGGGCACAGGUGGAACUCGAUAUACAGCCACCUCCUCAUGGCAAGUUCUGGGUUGCUUCAAUGGAUAAUUGUUGAAAGAAGCAAAGAGCUGCAUGAAAGAUGCUGUAAGAUGUAAAUUAUGUUUAUCACAUACUUCAAGCUUCUUGGAGCACCACAAGAUAAUCCCAGAUAUCAAUGAAACUUUUCAGGAUUACUAUGUGUCCUAUCCGAAAAAUUUUCCGCACUAUCAGAAAAAAAUUUUACGUGAAAAAUUUACUCCACCCUAAUGGACAGCUCUAUGUUAGAUACUCAGAACAAUAAGGGCCUAUUUAUCCUUGCCAGUGAAGGAAAAACAAUAAGCACCAUUCAUAAGG